rnacentral:rRNA from 1 species
AUGGAUGCUCUGGAGGCGAUUCCCCCACGGGAUGAUCCCGAGAAGAAACCAUGCGCGGAUGUGUAUGUCGACUCACAACACCAUUCCCUGACGACAUCGACGACGGACAUGGAUGUUGUCUCCAAGGUGCUUGACGAUGACAACCUCCUGAGAGAGAUCAUCCUUUGUGUCGGCUUCCCGACCACCCUCGUCCGUGCCUCUCUCGUCUGCAAGCGUUGGUACCACCAUGCCUCCGACCGCAAGUUCCUCAGCCGUUUCCAUGAGUGCAACCCGUCCCACCUCCUAGGCUUCUACCUCGAGGACACCGAUGAUCCAAGCGUGGCUGCACACUUCUUUCCGAUGCUGCCUCAACCUCCAGAGCUUGCAACUGUCAUCCGCACUGCGAGAUUCAGCUUGGACCCCCACCGGAGUGAAAUGUCCGACAUGAUGGGCUGCCGGAACGGCAACGUCCUCAUCAGCUUGUACGACGGCAGAGAUUUUACAGUUGGAGUGCACAGCCCGUUGCACCCCGAGAGAAGUUUGGUGGUCCUCCCGCCAUUCCCAGAGUUGCAAAUUCAGGACGGCUAUUUCUGUGGUAUGAAUGAUCUCCUCCUCUCCAAACAGGAAGGCGAUGGCUUGUCCUACAUUUAUGUGUUGGUGGAGUCUACAAUGGAGAGGACCAAAUCUAUGGUGCACAUAGAUGUGCUGCGAAAUGGUGACACUGUAUGGCGCAGACAUCUUGACUUGGCCACCGACCGAUUCCUUUGUCCGCGAUUUGAUCCAAAAGCUGUGCUCGCCGACGAUAAAAUCUAUAUAGCGAGUGCCCAGAGCGACAUUGUUGUCUUGGAUUUGAUGGGCUCAAGCAUCUCCACGAUUACCCUCCCACAAGGGGUGGAGUAUGGUGAUAGAGACACCAUGUUGGCAUGGGCCAAUAAUGCUUCUGGUGUGUAUCUCAGCCAUGCCAGGAAGCUUCAACUUUGCAUUUGGCUCCACAAGGGGGGCAACUGGUUGCUGGUGCACAGUAUUUGUUUGCGUGGGAUGGUUGCUAGUUUGAGGAUGACAGGUUGCGAGGAUGAGAAUGAGGCUACUGCUCCUCUCCGGAUAAACCAUGUGGGGGAUUAUGACGAGUUUGUUUUCUUGGAGAUGGGUUGA